GCUUGGACUAGGAAUGCCUAAGCAACAUCACACGGUUCCCCUCUGACUUUUUUUUGGAAACUUCCUGUUUUCUGAAGAGUUUUCUGUUUGAGUAGCCCAGCCCUCAUUCAACAAAAGCUGUCCAUGUUCCAGGCCAAGAGGCAGAGGGCAGGAUGGAUGGCAGUGGUGCCUUUAUGGCUGUUCGUCGUUCAGGAGAGCAACAGUUAAGCAAAGAUGGCUUUAAAGUAAAACAAACAAAGAACUAACUUUGGUGACUUAUGCAGUGAAAAACUUUUCCCACUUCUUUAUCCCAGAACGUCAAGGUCUGAAAUGUUUUCAGGUAGGUCUUUUUUGUUUGUUUACAUGUCCAUGACUUACCCGAGCUGAAGCAGCUACUGUGUCAGUAGUGGGCAGGAGGUGAUGCCCCAGCCCAAGACAACAGACAUGAUGUUCCUGACAGCUCACUUUCUGUUUUCCUCACUUCUUCUCUCUUUUUUCUCUUUGCAGUGAAUGAGGAGUCUGUCCCCUAUGGGGUCCAAAAUGAGUUUUGAUGCAGUAAUCCUGCAACUUGAACUAAAACUGUUUUUUCUGUUCCAGUAGGCAAGAGGUAGCCAAUAGGGAAGAAAACAAGCCCUACUAGAAAAAGUAUUGGCCUGCCUAAGAUUUUAAACACAGUUUGGCAUGUAAUUUGAUUCUCUUUAAAACAGGCCAGCUGGUAAAAGUCUAGGUCUAACAGGAACUUGAGAGCAAUCUCAGCAAGUUAACAUGUUUUUAACACAUCCUGCUUCAUCGUUUUUACAAAGACCUGCUGGAGAGCAAGCAAUUGUGCUCUCUAAUGGUGCUGCCUGCUCUGCUGGAACACAUGGGGCACUUUCUAGUCUCUGUUACCAGAGACUGUCUUUGCUGAAACACAAAUCAAUAGACCCAAGGAACAGCUUGUGAGCCUCUGCCUCAUAUAUAGGUAUGACUUAAUUGAACAGGACAGUUUCCACCCUUAGGUAAUGGCAUCCAUGCAAGUGUGGCUGCUUUGAUGGAUAGAUCUCCUUGCAGAAGUUUCACCCUUGAUCAGAGCAAGUUAGUCAUGACCAUCUCGGGCAAUAUUGUCCUGGGAGGACAGUAAGUAUUCCAAAAUGCUAGUGGGAGAAAAGAGGGACCUUGAAGCCCCUGCCCCUUCUAGAGUAAUACAAUUUGGUUUUCCUUGCAAGCACUCUAGAUCUCCUCACCUGACCAUGGCAGCUCUCCUAAGUUGAACUGGCUGAGCCCAUGGGCUAAAAUCUUUAUGGACACUCUUACCUGGGCUGGCAGGCAGCUCAGCCCUCAGACAAUAAUGACUUCAUGGCAUUCCUUCCUGGACGUGGAGAACUACCAUAGAUUUCUCCCAUAUAGCAUGUAAGGUAGGGUCAUUGAAGCCAGUGGUAUGAGAAAUGGAGGAAAUGCAGAACAGUUGCUUAGAUAAACAGCCUUUUUUCAAAGUGCCUUGCAUGUGCUGUACUCCUUUAGCAGAGGAGCUGGCUGAGGCAGGACACAUCUCUGUCAGCCCUUCCCACACCUGCACUUCUCCUGCUCUUCUACCAGCCCAGCUGACAUGCAGUGAAAGGAUGCCUUUGGGUUUCACCCAUUCGAGUCCAAAAAAUAAGCUAAAGUUUUGUAUGACUGACUUGGACAAAUGUGCACCCUUGACUUGACCCCCGAUGACUUACAUGUCCCCUCGUAUGCCUGCCCUGAGGGGCAGGCCCCUGGACACUGUUGGCAGGCUGGUUGGCAGCAUGGAUGCAUUGUUUAAGUGCUCAAAUGCAUCAUAGUUUUUGUCUUGUAGCAAAAAGCCACAAGCUUGUGUAGCAUUUAAUUCAGGCUUAUUAGCAAAUCCUUCAAGCAAUGCCUCUGUCAGCAUUGCUGAGUGGGCCAGGCUUUAACCAGAGCCAGCAUAGAAUCACUAUAGUUGUACUGCUUUGGUGUGAAGAGCAGAGCCAGUGAUGUGAGUUUGGGUCCAGGGCUAUGGUAAUAUGGUCAUUCAGCUCCCAAAUUGACCCAUAUAUGACAGUCAUGUAGAUGAAUUGCUGCUAAAAAACCCCCAGGCUGAAGGAGGUCAAACCACUGUCUGGUUCAUGGAAAAUGUGAAACUGUGACCAACAAAUCCAGGAGAAAGACAGGAGCAUUUCAAGGUGAAUAGCAGUGCAUGCCACCAGCCUAAACUAUUUUCUUCAGCCACACUGGCCACGAAGGAUGAAAAUGACGGGCUUGAACCAGGGAAAUCAAUAUCCUCAACUGCCUCUAGCAAAAGAAGCCCCACUGGGAACACCCAAAGGCUGGCAGGGCUCAUUUUCAGCUCCCUACCUUGUGGGAGAGUGCCCGCUGCUCUUGCUUGAUGGAUGUUCGUGGUGUGCAUCCCAGCUGGCUGAGACCCAGGCAUGGUGUGGGAGUAUUUCAUGGCAUCAGCAGGGGAAAGGGGAACAGCUGGGAGGUGGAUGCCACCUCUGAGGAGUGCUGGUGGGAGGGAGUGAGCUGCUGAGGGGGUUUGGCCAAGAGCCUGGUGGCUGCAUUAAGUGUAGCCAUUGGGAGGCCAUUUGUCAUAGCUGUGCAACCAGCCACCCAUCAACAGCAAUUACUGGUUUUUUACAACUUCCAAACAAUGUUUGUUACAAGCUGUGUUUGCUGUCAUAACGUAAAAAACAGAAAUAGGAUGAAAAAAAUCGUACCUAACCAAACAAAACUUUCAGGGAUUUUGUGUUUUUCUUUUAAAGUUAACAGGUGUUCCUGGUCACCCUGCGAAACCACAGGGAAAAUGUCUGCAUACCACUGAAAUGAAGCAACUCCAAAACAAACUCUGGGAAGAUAAUCCCAUCCUUUUCUUUUGUUUUGUAGAAAUGAAUGGGUAAAACAACCAGCUUGGACUCUGGGUUUUCAUAGUGAUAGAGUGGAAGCUUUCACCACCAUCCCAGUUUUGGACUGCAUCUGAUGCAGUCUCAUGGAGACAGGGGACUGUUAUUAGAGCUGCGUGAAUAAUCUACAGCAAGUUACUGAAUGGAAGUGUUUGGCCUUUUAUCUGUUUGCAAACUAUCUGUGAGCCUGCCUGGAUGUUCUUGAAUGUGUUUGUUGUUUGAAAUAAUGCUGCUUGUAA